CUAAAGGCUCUUUUAAGAGCCACCACAUUGUCACUGUGAGAGCUGU
rfam:Tinamus guttatus contig56256, whole genome shotgun sequence.